rnacentral:lncRNA from 1 species
ACUUGUGAUGCACAACAUGGGUCCAGAGAGACCCGAGUGAGUUUCAACUGUAAAUAUCUUUAAAAUAAAUUAUUUAAUCUUUCACAAUUCCUCAAUUAACUUGUUUUUGAUCAUCACAAAUUCUUAUUUUCAUUUUUACUUUCUUACUUUUUGAAUAGAAAUCACUUCCCUUCAUGGAUGUUAGGGUUAGAAUAGCUCGUGUCGAAGGUUAAAGUGUUGUGUUCCUGACGAACACCUCAGACGUGUCCUCAUGAAAUAUGCAGCACAGACGACACCUGUUGACCUCGGGACAGAUAAAAGGUUCACGGUAACGUAAAGGACAAUUAGAUUCAAAAGGUUUUAAAAAACAUUAUAGGAAAAUUAUAUUCUCACGUGUAUAUAUAUAUAUAUAUAUAUUAUUAUAUAUUAUUAUAUGUUAUGGAUAACUUUGCAUAAUUGGUUCAUUUUUUUAAUAAAAUUGUGGAUCUUUAAACUUCGUGUGAGGACCAACACACACCGGGAUGGAGACUGCACACCGGUGUUUUAAGAAAUCCAGUAGCACCUUUAAAACUUAAAGUUAGCAAGUAAAGUGCAGAUAAAUGAAACACCUGUCGCAUCACAAGCUGUAAGGUAACCUCCAAGAAAAAUAAAUCUGUGUUUAGCAUUAUUAUUCUGUGUGAGAUGGUAGUAUUGGGGAAAUAUCCGAUGAUGCUAACACAGCUGACGUUAUAAGUUUUAUAAUCGCAGGUAUUUUGUGUUAUUUCUAACGAGGCAGCGUUUCGUGUCCUCAGACGCUUUUGAUUUGUAGAACAUUGUGAAAUUACAGCUGCAUACAGCAUAUUUUUGCUCGUAACCCCGCGCUCUUGAAUCAGUUUAGUAAACACAUGACUUGGUACAGAACACCGACCCGUAGUGACGAACAUCUAACCUCCAACAGCUCGGUCCGUCUCCUCUCUGUCGAGUUUUGAGCUUCCAGAGAUCGAUGGUUCUGCUGUGGACACCUGCAGGAUUUUCUUCGGCGCUGAACCCGACACCACCACCACGACCACGACCACACCCACCACCACCACGACUAAAUCAACCACACCCACCACCAAGAAGCAGCUUGUGGCCACAACCAAAAAGCCAGCCGUCCAAUCACCACCAAGGAAACCAGAAACACCAAUCAGGCCACAGCCAGCUCCGGCAGGACCAAUCACUGACAGCCUCCUCUACUACCUCCUGGCCAAUGGCAGAGCACACGCGGCUGGUUCCCCCCCGGGGUUAGGGUCAUCGGAUAGCGACGAG